rnacentral:rRNA from 1 species
CUGGUGUUCUCAGCGAACUGUCAAACUUUUAACAACGGAUCUCUUGGCUCCAGCAUCGAUGAAGAACGCAGCGAACGCGAUAUGUAAUGUGAAUUGCAGAAUUCAGUGAAUCAUCGAAUCUUUGAACGCACAUGGCGCCUUCCAGUAUCCUGGGAGGCAUGCCUGUCCGAGCGUCGUUUCAACCCUCGAGCCCUGUGGCCCGGCGUUGGGAUCUGCCACGGCAGGCCCUAAAACCAGUGGCGGACCGAAGGGCCCUCUCCUUUGCGCAGUAGCAUUCGCCUCGCAUCGGAGUCCUCGGCGUCCUGCCUCUAAACCCCCACAAGCCCGCUUCGGCGGCACCAAGGUUGACCUCGGAUCAGGUAGGAAUACCCGCUGAACUUAA